GAUGAACGCUAGCGGCAGGCCUAAUACAUGCAAGUCGAACGGUGUCUUCGGACAUAGUGGCGCACGGGUGCGUAACACGUAUGCAACCUACCUUACAUUGGGGGAUAGCCUUUCGAAAGGGAGAUUAAUACCGCAUAAGACAGUAGCUGGGCAUCCAGCAGCUGUUAAAGAUUUAUCGAUGUAAGCUGGGCAUGCGUCGAAUUAGCUAGUUGGUGAGGUAACGGCUCACCAAGGCAAUGAUUGGUAGGGGAACUGAGAGGUCAAUCCCCCACACUGGCACUGAGCGACGGGCCAGACUCCUACGGGAGGCUGGUGUAGGGGAUAUUGGGCAAUGGGCGCAAGUCCGACCCAGCCAUGCCGCGUGCAGGAUGAAGGCGUUAUGCGUUGUAAACUGCUUUUAUACAGGAAGAAACGACUCUUGCGAGAGGCAUUGACGGUACUGUAUGAAUAAGCACCGGCUAACUCCGUGCCAGCGGCCGCAGUAAAAC
rnacentral:rRNA from 1 species